rnacentral:rRNA from 1 species
GAUGAACGCUGGCGGCGUGCCUAAUACAUGCAAGUCGAGCGAACGGACGAGAAGCUUGCUUCUCUGAUGUUAGCGGCGGACGGGUGAGUAACACGUGGAUAACCUACCUAUAAGACUGGGAUAACUUCGGGAAACCGGAGCUAAUACCGUAAAUACUUUGGAUCCACUGGGUUAAAAGUGAAAGAUCGGCGUUCGGGCACUUAUUGGCGGCUUCGCGCGGCGUUAGCUAGUUGGUAAGGUAACGGCUUAUCAAGGCAACGAGGCACAGCCGAACUGAGAGGGUGAUCGGCCACCCUGGAGGUGAGACGCGGUCCAGGCUCCUACGAGACGCAGCAGUAGGGAAUCUGACGCAAUAGGCGGAAGCCUGACGGAGCGACGGCGCGUGAGUGGUGGAGGUCUUCGGAUCGUAAAACUCUGUUAUUAGGGAAGAACAUAUGUGUAAGUAACUGUGCAGAUCUUGACGGUACCUGAUCAGAAAGCACCGGCUAACUACGUG